rnacentral:rRNA from 1 species
CAGCCGCCGCGGGAAUACGGAGGGUGCAAGCGUUAAUCGGAAUUACUGGGCGUAAAGCGCACGCAGGCGGUCUGUCAAGUCAGAUGUGAAAUCCCCGGGCUUAACCUGGGAACUGCAUUUGAAACUGGCAGGCUAGAGUCUUGUAGAGGGGGGUAGAAUUCCAGGUGUAGCGGUGAAAUGCGUAGAGAUCUGGAGGAAUACCGGUGGCGAAGGCGGCCCCCUGGACAAAGACUGACGCUCAGGUGCGAAAGCGUGGGGAGCAAACAGGAUUAGAUACCCCGGUAGUCCCUGUCUCUUAUAA